GUGUCAGCCGCCGCGGUAAUACGAAGGGGGCUAGCGUUGUUCGGAAUUACUGGGCGUAAAGCGCACGUAGGCGGGUUUGUAAGUAGGGGGUGAAAUCCCAGGGCUCAACCCUGGAACUGCCUCCUAGACUGCAAGCCUCGAGGUCAGGAGAGGCGAGUGGAAUUCCGAGUGUAGAGGUGAAAUUCGUAGAUAUUCGGAGGAACACCAGUGGCGAAGGCGACUCGCUGGACUGAUACUGACGCUGAGGUGCGAAAGCGUGGGGAGCAAACAGGAUUAGAAACCCGCGUAGUCC
rnacentral:rRNA from 1 species